GGGGUCGUCGGCUAGUCGGAGGGAUUCCGCCUCUGGCGCUUGAGAUCGCCGGUUCAAAUCCGGCCGACCCCA
rnacentral:tRNA from 1 species